AGAUGAUGGAGAUAUUAUUAGGGAUGAUGAUGCUGAAUCGUGGACCCAAAUGAUGGUAGAAUCCUCUUCACUGUACUACUGAAGUGGAACUCGGCGACAAGGCACUAGAAUUCAAAGCAAAACCCUUUGAACAAAAAGGUACUUGUCGUUGCCUCAUGCCAACAAUUCCCUUCCACAGGUAAUAAACAAUUGAGAUACUCGAAGAGCACAGCCUCUGAAGAGAGCUAAAUGGACUCAAGAAGCAGGUUUUCUUGAAAAGCUUGAAGCUAAGUAUAAGAUCGGAGAUAUGCUAUGAGUUUGAAGAAUGAACAGGUUUUAGAACCAAAAAGAUACUCGAAGAGCACGGCCUGUUAAGAGAGCUAAAUGGAGUCAAAAAGCAGGUUUUCAUAAAUUGGAUGUGUUUAAGAAGCAUGAAGCAAAGUAUAAGGCUGAAGGAGAAGAUGAUGAAGAAGUUGAAGAAUCAGAGGGAGAAGAAUCUGAUUACGGAGAUUAUGAUUAUGAUCAGAAUCAAUCAAGACUUCGAUGAUGGUGACAGACAAUUAUAAUCAGGCAGAUGAUGGUGAAUUUGAAGAUGUUUUGUCAGCUCCUUCUUCAAUAAGCUCUUCACUUCACCACAUCUGCCAGAAUUCAGAUCAUCCGGGAACUUACUGGAGGUAUUUACAAUGGGCAUCCUCGGGGCUUUACCACAAAAGGUGAGGAAGUUCGCUUUUGUACCGAGUCCUAUUCUGCAAGUGAGGUUGAUCACAUUGCUCGUGUUGCAUUUGAUUUUGCCAACCAAAGGUGCGGUAAUCUUUGUUCAGUUGACAAGGCUACUAUCUUGGAGGAGAUGCCCAUUGGAAGAGCUGCUUUGGGAGUUCCCUUUCCGGAGGAUACCAUCUCUACUGCAAAUGAAUCAAGAUGCAAUGCUUCUUGGAGCCAUUGGAGGGGUACAAGUUGGAUAACAAUGAAAAGCAUCUGAGGCCUGAGAAGGGGUUACUUCAGCUUCGUGCAGGUCUUAAAAGUAUUUGCAAAUCUGAGACCUGCUACAGUUGUGCCACAGGGAGAGGGGAGCAGAAGUUGUUGGUCCAGUGGAUGCUUACAUGAGGAGACAAGAAAAUUGCGUAUUGCCAUGAACAAGCUUCUGCACAACAUCAAGUCUGAACAAAACAUCAUCCUCUAGCCAACUAUUAUUUGCUACUAACAUUGAAACGAGGCUAAGUGGUAGAUAUAUUGUUUCAACGAUUAACUUAACACAAUAACAAGAAAAGUGGAGAAGUAAUAUAAGAGAGAAUCCAAAUUAAAAAGCCACUGAAAAGCAAAUUGAUGCAGAAACUCUAAAUAAUAGUAGCAGAUUCAUGUUUGAAUAAACUUGAGCAACAAGAGAGGGACAAAAGUUUCACUUGAUGCAUUAGUUAGUUUAUCAGGAAAAGAACUCUCUGGAGCUUGUGAGCUCUGGGAAGCAUCAGCAGAUCCGUGGCAAGUUGCAGCCUGGCUUUUUUUAUCUCUUUCCCAAGCAGGGACUUGGAGCAGCUUAAGACAUGGGAAUUUCUCCAGGAAAGGUUCCAUUUGCUUAAACUCCUCGGUUUGUCUUCUUCUUGUAGAAGCAAACUGGUUACGCAUCUCUUGGAGAGAAAGAAGUUGAAGCAGCGUCCUUCGUCAACAGGAAUGACAAUGUGUAGCAAAGCAUCUCAUCAGGUAGACCACUGAUUCUUCUAUCCAUCACUUACCAAAACCCUAGGAAAAAAAUUCUCUUUUCACACUUAAAAACAGAAGACAUGAGUUCACUUGGGCGUUCACCUCGUUGGUAAAGUCGUCAAGUCCGAAACUUUCAGCUUCAAGAGACGCAAAUUUAUAUAAUUCGCAACCAAAUUAGGGUCGAAAAGCCAAAGCGAAGACUUUAGGGUAUUUUGAAAACAAAGAUGCU